CGGUCGCCUGUUUAUCAAAAACAUCGCCUCUUGCUUACCACACAUAAGAGGUCUUGCCUGCCCCGUGACUAUACGUUUAACGGCCGCGGUAUUUUAACCGUGCGAAGGUAGCGCAAUCACUUGUCCCUUAAAUGAGGACCUGUAUGAAAGGCACGACGAGGGCCUAACUGUCUCCUCUUCCUGGUCAGUGAAAUUGAUCUCCCCGUGCAGAAGCGGGGAUCCUUACAUAAGACGAGAAGACCCUAUGGAGCUUUAGACUUUAGAACAGCCCCCCCCCAACAAGCUCGCUACCUUCAUAAAAUAGGUAAUAGCUUUUGCAUUUCUGUUCCCCGUCUUCGGUUGGGGUGACCAAGGAGCAUAAAAAGCCUCCAUGUGGACCAGGAGCACAGCACUACUCCUAAAAAAAUGAGCCACAGCUCUAAUGCACAGAACAUUUGACCAUUAGAUCCGGCAAAGCCGAUUAACGGACCAAGUUACCCUAGGGAUAACAGCGCAAUCCCCUUUAAGAGUCCCUAUCGACAAGGGGGUUUACGACCUCGAUGUUGGAUCAAGACAUCCUAAUGGUGCAGCCGCUAUUAAGGGUUCGUUUGUUCAACGAUUAAAGUCUUACAUGAUCUGAGUUCAGACCGG
rnacentral:rRNA from 1 species